GACGAACGCUGGCGGCGUGCUUAACACAUGCAAGUCGAACGGAAAGGCCCUGCUUUUGUGGGGUGCUCGAGUGGCGAACGGGUGAGUAACACGUGAGUAACCUGCCCUUGACUUUAGGAUAACUUCAGGAAACUGGGGCUAAUACCGGAUAGGAGCUCCUGCUGCAUGGUGGGGGUUGGAAAGUUUCGGCGGUUGGGGAUGGAUUCGCGGCUUAUCAGCUUGUUGGUGGGGUAGUGGUUUACCAAGGCUUUGACGGGUAGCCGGCCUGAGAGGGUGACCGGCCACAUUGGGACUGAGAUACGGCCCAGACGCCUACGGGAGGCAGCAGUGGGGAAUAUUGCACAAUGGGCGGAAGCCUGAUGCAGCAACGUCGCGUGCGGGAUGACGGCCUUCGGGUUGUAAACCGCUUUCGCCUGUGACGAAGCGUGAGUGACGGUAAUGGGUAAAGAAGCACCGGCUAACUACGUG
rnacentral:rRNA from 1 species